AUUGAACGCUAGCGGGAUGCCUUACACAUGCAAGUCGAACGGAGUGGCGAACGGGUGAGUAAUGUAUCGGAACGUGCCCAGUAGCGGGGGAUAACUACGCGAAAGCGUAGCUAAUACCGCAUACCAUUGGAGCGGCCGAUAUCGGAUUAGCUAGUGGGUGGGGUAACGGCUCACCAAGGCGACGAUCCGUAGGUGGUUUGAGAGGACGACCAGCCAGACUGGGAGUGGUACACGGCCCAGACUCCUACGGGAGGAAGCAGUGGGGAAUUUUGGACAAUGGGGGAAACCCGGAUCCAGCCAUCCGGCGUGUGCGAGUAAGGUCUUCGGUUUGUAAAGCACUUUUGGCAGGAAAGCGGUACCUGCAGAAUAAGCACCGGCUAACUACGUGCCAGCAGCCGCGGUAAUAC
rnacentral:rRNA from 1 species